UACAGAGGUCUCAAGCGUUGUUCGGAUUCAUUGGGCGUAAAGGGUGCGUAGGCGGUGUCGUAAGUCGGAUGUGAAAUCCCGGGGCUUAACUUCGGAACUGCAUUCGAUACUGCGAUACUCGAGGACUCGAGAGGAGAUUGGAAUUCACGGUGUAGCAGUGAAAUGCGUAGAUAUCGUGAGGAAGACCAGUGGCGAAGACGGAUCUCUGGAGAGUUCCUGACGCUGAGGCACGAAGGCCAGGGGAGCAAACGGG
rnacentral:rRNA from 1 species